rnacentral:rRNA from 1 species
UUUGACGUUAGCGACAGAAGAAGCACCGGCUAACUCCGUGCCAGCAGCCGCGGUAAUACGGAGGGUGCGAGCGUUAAUCGGAAUUACUGGGCGUAAAGCGCAUGCAGGUGGUUUGUUAAGUCAGAUGUGAAAGCCCGGGGCUCAACCUCGGAAUAGCAUUUGAAACUGGCAGACUAGAGUACUGUAGAGGGGGGUAGAAUUUCAGGUGUAGCGGUGAAAUGCGUAGAGAUCUGAAGGAAUACCGGUGGCGAAGGCGGCCCCCUGGACAGAUACUGACACUCAGAUGCGAAAGCGUGGGGAGCAAACAGGAUUAGAUACCCUGGUAGUCCACGCCGUAAACGAUGUCUACUUGGAGGUUGUGGCCUUGAGCCGUGGCUUUCGGAGCUAACGCGUUAAGUAGACCGCCUGGGGAGUACGGUCGCAAGAUUAAAACUCAAAUGAAUUGACGGGGGCCCGCACAAGCGGUGGAGCAUGUGGUUUAAUUCGAUGCAACGCGAAGAACCUUACCUACUCUUGACAUCCAGAGAACUUUCCAGAGAUGGAUUGGUGCCUUCGGGAACUCUGAGACAGGUGCUGCAUGGCUGUCGUCAGCUCGUGUUGUGAAAUGUUGGGUUAAGUCCCGCAACGAGCGCAACCCUUAUCCUUGUUUGCCAGCGAGUAAUGUCGGGAACUCCAGGGAGACUGCCGGUGAUAAACCGGAGGAAGGUGGGGACGACGUCAAGUCAUCAUGGCCCUUACGAGUAGGGCUACACACGUGCUACAAUGGCGCAUACAGAGGGCGGCCAACUUGCGAGAGUGAGCGAAUCCCAAAAAGUGCGUCGUAGUCCGGAUUGGAGUCUGCAACUCGACUCCAUGAAGUCGGAAUCGCUAGUAAUCGUGGAUCAGAAUGCCACGGUGAAUACGUUCCCGGGCCUUGUACACACCGCCCGUCACACCAUGGGAGUGGGCUGCAAAAGAAGUAGGUAGUUUAACCUU